rnacentral:rRNA from 1 species
GAGCAUGUGGCUUAAUUUGACUCAACGCGGGAAAUCUUACCGGGUCCGGACACACUGAGGAUUGACAGGCAAUAUUAAUUUCUGGCCUCCGGGUCGAUUUUAUGUUAAAUAUGCUAGUCCUUUCAUGAUUAUGUGAUAGGUGGUGCAUGGCCGUUCUUAGUUCGUGGAGUGAUCUGUCUGCUUAAUUGCGUUUCACUAAGGGCCUAUAAUUUAACGUGUGUUGCGGCACUUUGACCCCUCUUCGCGGAGCGUGCGUCUUAGCUUGUUUAGCUCACACAAUUAGGUCCUGAAAGCAACGAACGUGACCGCAACCUCUUGUUGCCUUUAUACCAAACACAGUCUGACCUUCUUCACUGAAGGGCUGCCGUGAAAAAAGGCUUUUUAAACUAGAGGGACCGCUGUUACUUUCUUAAACCAGAGGAAGGUUGCGGCAAUAACAGGUCUGU